rnacentral:tRNA from 1 species
GCCUAGUUAGCUUAGUUGGUAGUGCGUCUGCCUUGUAAGCGCUAGGCCGCGGGUUCGAUUCCCGCCAAGCA